UGAGGAAUAUUGGUCAAUGGGCGGGAGCCUGAACCAGCCAAGUCGCGUGAGGGAAGACGGUCCUAUGGAUUGUAAACCUCUUUUGUCGGGGAGACAAAGAGGCCACGUGUGGUCAAAAGCGAGAGUACCCGAAGAAAAAGCAUCGGCUAACUCCGUGCC
rnacentral:rRNA from 1 species